UCAAAUGUUCUUUUAGCCUCUCUCUUCCCUCUCAAAUGUUCUUUUAGCCCCCCUAAAAGAACAUUUGAGAGGGAAGAGGGGGCUAAAAGAACAUUUG
rnacentral:pre_miRNA from 1 species